rnacentral:snoRNA from 1 species
GAGCAAGGUCAUUUAUUUUAGAAUAAUGCAAUCUUGCAUUGAAGGUUGGAAAUAAAAAUAUUGGGUGCCUUCUGAAUUCUGUUUGUGUCGAUUAUGGCCUUGAACAAGACACUACAUC